CAUGUCUAAGUAUAAGCAAUUAUACGGCGAAACUGCGAAUGGCUCAUUAUAUAAGUUAUCGUUUAUUUGAUAGUACCUUACUACUUGGAUAACCGUGGUAAUUCUAGAGCUAAUACAUGCUAAAAAUCCCGACUUCGGAAGGGAUGUAUUUAUUAGAUUAAAAACCAAUGCCCUCUGGGCUCUCUGGUGAUUCAUGAUAACUUCGCGAAUCGCAUGGCCUUGCGCCGGCGAUGGCUCAUUCAAAUUUCUUCCCUAUCAACUUUCGAUGUUUGGGUAUUGGCCAAACAUGGUUGCAACGGGUAACGGAGGGUUAGGGCUCGACCCCGGAGAAGGAGCCUGAGAAACGGCUACUACAUCCAAGGAAGGCAGCAGGCGCGCAAAUUACCCAAUCCCGACACGGGGAGGUAGUGACAAUAAAUACUGAUACAGGGCCCUUUUGGGUCUUGUAAUUGGAAUGAGUACAAUUUAAAUCCCUUAACGAGGAACAAUUGGAGGGCAAGUCUGGUGCCAGCAGCCGCGGUAAUUCCAGCUCCAAUAGCGUAUAUUAAAGUUGUUGUGGUUAAAAAGCUCGUAGUUGAACCUUGGGCCUGGCUGGCCGGUCCGCCUCACCGCGUGUACUGGUCCGGCCGGGCCUUUCCCUCUGUGGAACCCCAUGCCCUUCACUGGGUGUGGCGGGGAAACAGGACUUUUACUUUGAAAAAAUUAGAGUGCUCCAGGCAGGCCUAUGCUCGAAUACAUUAGCAUGGAAUAAUAGAAUAGGACGUGUGGUUCUAUUUUGUUGGUUUCUAGGACCGCCGUAAUGAUUAAUAGGGACAGUCGGGGGCAUCAGUAUUCAAUUGUCAGAGGUGAAAUUCUUGGAUUUAUUGAAGACUAACUACUGCGAAAGCAUUUGCCAAGGAUGUUUUCAUUAAUCAGGAACGAAAGUUAGGGGAUCGAAGACGAUCAGAUACCGUCGUAGUCUUAACCAUAAACUAUGCCGACUAGGGAUCGGACGAUGUUAUUUUUUGACUCGUUCGGCACCUUACGAGAAAUCAAAGUGCUUGGGCUCCAGGGGGAGUAUGGUCGCAAGGCUGAAACUUAAAGAAA
rnacentral:rRNA from 1 species